rnacentral:rRNA from 1 species
UACGUAGGGUGCGAGCGUUGUCCGGAAUUAUUGGGCGUAAAGAGCUUGUAGGCGGUUUGUCGCGUCUGCUGUGAAAUCUCAAGGCUCAACCUUGAGCUUGCAGUGGGUACGGGCAGACUAGAGUGUGGUAGGGGAGACUGGAAUUCCUGGUGUAGCGGUGAAAUGCGCAGAUAUCAGGAAGAACACCCGUGGCGAAAGCGGCUCUCUGGAACGGUACUGACGCUGAGACGCGAAAGCGUGGGGAGCGAACAGG